rnacentral:tRNA from 1 species
GAGAACCUAGUAAAUAUUAUUACGUGGCCCUGUCAUAGCCAAAUUACAAACCCUUGUGGUCCUCC